rnacentral:lncRNA from 1 species
GGAAUAUUUGAGUCUUGAGUGAACUUCUGUGUGUGUGUGUGUGUGUUAGCAUGUUGGUUUCCAUGAGUAACAAGGAGGGGUGGACUCCCCCCCUCCCCGAGGGAGCUGCUGUCAUGGGCGCGUCCAGCUCUCUUGGACAGACGGACCCUCCUCAUCAGGAUCUGGCCGAAGCACAAGUCACUGAGGGGUUGACUUUCUCCUGGAAAUCGAGCAAGACGAGCUGUAACAAUGACUUCAUGAGAACAACGGUCCAAUUGUGUGUCGUCGCCCCCCCGGCUCCCGGGAUCAGGUUAGUGUUAAUUCAACAUAUUACCCACUCAUCUGCACUUUCCUUGCUGCAUGUUUACCACAUAAAAGAUCAGAU